UGAGCAACCUGCCCUUGACACUGGAAUAACAGUUGGAAACAGCUGCUAAUACCGGAUACGACCUUCGAUGGCAUCAUCUGAAGGUGGAAAGUUCCGACGGUCAAGGAUGGGCUCGCGGCCUAUCAGCUAGUUGGUGAGGUAACGGCUCACCAAGGCAACGAUGCGUAGCCGACCUGAGAGGGUGAUCGGCCACAUUGGAACUGAGACACGGUCCAGAUCCUACGGGG
rnacentral:rRNA from 1 species